UUAACAGGUGAAGUCUUUGAGGUGAGGAGCCUCCGAGCAAGGUUUCUGAGAUUUGUGGGAUUCAAGUCUCAGGUGGUAAAGGUUUGUUAGGUACCUGUAAACUUAGCAUCGAAGUCUUUGAGGUGAGGAACCUCCGAGCAAGUGUUUGAGACUUGUGUGAUUCAAGUCUCAAGUGUAAAGGUUUGUUGAGCACCCGUAAGCUCGACAGGN
rnacentral:lncRNA from 1 species